AUACGUAGGGUGCAAGCGUUAAUCGGAAUUACUGGGCGUAAAGCGUGCGCAGGCGGUUUUGUAAGACAGAGGUGAAAUCCCCGGGCUCAACCUGGGAACUGCCUUUGUGACUGCAAGGCUGGAGUGCGGCAGAGGGGGAUGGAAUUCCGCGUGUAGCAGUGAAAUGCGUAGAUAUGCGGAGGAACACCGAUGGCGAAGGCAAUCCCCUGGGCCGGCACUGACGCUCAUGCACGAAAGCGUGGGGAGCAAACAGGAUUAGAUACCCUGGUAGUCCACGCCCUAAACGAUGUCAACUGGUUGUUGGGGAUUUAUUUUCUCAGUAACGAAGCUAACGCGUGAAGUUGACCGCCUGGGGAGUACGGCCGCAAGGUUAAAACUCAAAUGAAUUGACGGGG
rnacentral:rRNA from 1 species